rnacentral:rRNA from 1 species
AGGACGAACGCUGGCGGCGUGCCUAACACAUGCAAGUCGAACGGGGCCCGCAAGGGUUCAGUGGCGAACGGGUGCGUAACACGUGAAGAACUUGUCCAUCGGCGGGGGAUAGCCGGCCCAACGGCCGGGUAAUACCGCGUACGUUCUUCGAGAGGCAUCCCUUGAAGAGGAAAGCAGCAAUGCACCGAUGGAGAGCUUCGCGGCCUAUCAGCUUGUUGGCGGGGUAAUGGCCCACCAAGGCAACGACGGGUAGCUGGUCUGAGAGGAUGAUCAGCCACAUUGGGACUGAGACACGGCCCAGACUCCUACGGGAGGCAGCAGUGGGGAAUAUUGCGCAAUGGGCGAAAGCCUGACGCAGCGACGCCGCGUGUGGGAUGACGGCCUUCGGGUUGUAACCACUGUCGCGAGGGACGAAAAAUAGACGGUACCUCGAAAGGAAGACACCGGCUAACUCUGUGCCAGCAGCCGC